rnacentral:ncRNA from 1 species
UUGAGCCGGAUGCGGGGAUGACUCGCACGUCCGGUUCUGAGGGGGCCGGGACGCAGCAAUGCGUCCCGGCUACCCGAC